rnacentral:rRNA from 1 species
AACGAACGCUGGCGGCAUGCCUAACACAUGCAAGUCGAACGAAGCCUUCGGGCUUAGUGGCGCACGGGUGCGUAACGCGUGGGAAUCUGCCCUUGGGUUCGGAAUAACAGUUAGAAAUGACUGCUAAUACCGGAUGAUGUCUUCGGACCAAAGAUUUAUCGCCCAAGGAUGAGCCCGCGUAGGAUUAGGUAGUUGGUGGGGUAAUGGCCCACCAAGCCGACGAUCCUUAGCUGGUCUGAGAGGAUGAGCAGCCACACUGGGACUGAGACACGGCCCAGACUCCUACAGGAGGCAGCAGUGGGGAAUAGUGGACAAUGGGCGAAAGCCUGAUGCAGCAAUGCCGCGUGAGUGAUGAAGGCCUUAGGGUUGUAAAGCUCUUUUACCAGGGAUGAUAAUGACAGUACCUGGAGAAUAAGCUCCGGCUAACUCCGUGCCAGCAGCCGCUGUAA